GAGAGGUAGGAGAGAUCCAGAGACUGUCAUAUUGUGUCUUAUUCAGUGUGUGAUCAGUCAUGUGUUGUGAACUGACAGCAGGUUUGUCUCUCUACACUCACAGCUCUCUCCAAGAGGAGACACAGGAGCACGACUGAGGCCGUUUAUGAGGAGCUUCAUCACAGACCCACUCAUAGACAGAGUCUCUUCAUUGGGGGAAGUGUCUUUCCUGAAGAACAGCAUUCUGGGUAUGAAGAUGCUGAUGAGCUUCUUUCAGUAGGAGCCGCUCCUGACUACUGUAAUGAUGUCAUCACCACUGAAGGGCCAAAAGAAGAGCAGCAAGUCACACCUGAAAAUUAUGAUGAUGUAAUCACUGUUGGACUGAGACCUCGUGAUACAGAAAACUAUGAUGAUGUCAUAAUUGCACUACAAUUCUCCAAUGAUAAAGCAGAUGGUGUUCAGGAGGAUUAUGCGGAUGUGAAGAAUGUCAGGGAGUAUAUGAGUGACGUGAUUGACUAUGAUGAUGUGGAGGAUGAGCCAGAAAAACAGGGAGGGACUGUGUAACUCAAACCACACCUACUGCCUCAAAUCCUUUCAAAGCUUUUAAGUGAUCCGAAACAUUUCUAUGAUGUAGAUUUGGCAAUUUGAGAACAAAAAAACAAAACAAAAAACCUUUUAAUCAGUUUGUAUAUAACUGUUAUGAUUUCAGAUGCUUCACCAUUUACCGUCUUUAACGUUUUACAGCAACUUAAAAAUAUUAUACUUAAAAAAUAUCAACAUAAAAAUAUUAUAUUUCUUUUGAAUGUAGACCCACUGAUAGUGUACACAAUAUUUUACUAAAGAUCAUUGGAAUGUACUUUGGGAAAUAAGUUUAUAAACAGCAGCUGUGGUCAAGGAUCUUUACCUCAAAAUAAUGUAAUGACUCUUUGAACUGAGCAGAAGAGCUUGUUGUUCACUUUAUGUCCUGCAGAGGGUUUUGUGACAGUCAGACAUUGAUACAUGGCAUUCAUAUGUUUGUUUUAUGUACUAGUUUUAUAUUUGUUUCCAAUUUGAUUGCUGGUUUGAAUUGAUUUAAAUGUUUUCCGUUUAGCAUUUAAAAUCAGACUAACUAUGUGCAUGGAUAUUAUGUCAUUAUUAUAAUUAUUGUGAAACUGAGAAAUGUUGCAGCAUUUUUAUUUUUUUUUUAUUUUUUUUUUUGCACACACAAUGCAAAAUUCAAUAAAAGUCUAUGGAAUAUUGUAUUCUGUUAUUCAGUAGUUUGAUAUGGCUCUCUGUCUUAGUGUUUUUCAUCAGC